UGCCACAGCAAUAUCGCCCUGCAGCCUAAGACUGGUUACUUACUGAAGUUAAGCAGGGCUGAGUCGGGUCAGUUCCUGGAUGGGGGACCACAUGGGAAAGUUAGGUUGCUGUUAGGU
rfam:Danio rerio chromosome 15, GRCz11 reference primary assembly.